GUAGGUGGCAAGCGUUGUCCGGAAUUAUUGGGCGUAAAGCGCGCGCAGGCGGUCCUUUAAGUCUGAUGUGAAAGCCCACGGCUCAACCGUGGAGGGUCAUUGGAAACUGGGGGACUUGAGUACAGAAGAGGAAAGCGGAAUUCCACGUGUAGCGGUGAAAUGCGUAGAGAUGUGGAGGAACACCAGUGGCGAAGGCGGCUUUCUGGUCUGUAACUGACGCUGAGGCGCGAAAGCGUGGGGAGCAAACAGGGAUUAGAUACCCUGGUAGUCCACGCCGUAAACGAUGAGUGCUAAGUGUUAGGGGGUUUCCCGCCCCUUAGUGCUGCAGCUAACGCAUUAAGCACUCCGCCUGGGGAGUACGGCCCGCAAGGCUG
rnacentral:rRNA from 1 species